UCUUGUAUAUAAAAAUUUUUAUGAUUAAUUAAUAAUUUUUUGUAUUUAAUUGGGGUGAUUUAAAAAUUAAUAUAACUUUUUAUUUUAUUUAACAUAAAUUAAUGAAUAAGAAAUGAAUUUUUUAAGUAUCUAUUUUAAAAUUAUAAAUAAAAAUUAAGA
rnacentral:rRNA from 1 species